rnacentral:rRNA from 1 species
GAUGAACGCUGGCGGCGUGCCUAAUACAUGCAAGUCGAGCGAACAGACGAGGAGCUUGCUCCUCUGACGUUAGCGGCGGACGGGUGAGUAACACGUGGAUAACCUACCUAUAAGACUGGGAUAACUUCGGGAAACCGGAGCUAAUACCGGAUAAUAUAUUGAACCGCAUGGUUCAAUAGUGAAAGACGGUUUUGCUGUCACUUAUAGAUGGAUCCGCGCCGCAUUAGCUAGUUGGUAAGGUAACGGCUUACCAAGGCAACGAUGCGUAGCCGACCUGAGAGGGUGAUCGGCCACACUGGAACUGAGACACGGUCCAGACUCCUACGGGAGGCAGCAGUAGGGAAUCUUCCGCAAUGGGCGAAAGCCUGACGGAGCAACGCCGCGUGAGUGAUGAAGGUCUUCGGAUCGUAAAACUCUGUUAUUAGGGAGAACAAAUGUGUAAGUAACUAUGCACGUCUUGACGGUACCUAAUCAGAAAGCCACGGCUAACUACGUG